CAAAGGAAGAAAAGUCUCAAUCUGAGGUAAAGGAGAGUGGAUAUUUAAAACACAUGUGGAAAAAGAAUCACCUUUGUCUUUUUCUUCAUGAAGGAUAUUUCUGCAUUAAUGAAGCAGUAUGUUCUGGUAUCUAUAAAUGGAAUGGCACACACCAUAGAGCAAGUGAAUGGGGAGCCAUGGAGGAACCUCUAAGGAAAAAAAUACCUCUUCCACCAGCCAAAUCAGCAAAUGUGUGGAAUCAAAUAUUUGGACUGCCUCAAGGAUCUGACAGGAGGAAUUGAGUAUGCUGCCAAGAUAUUAAAUGAAAUUCCCCAGAAAGACAUUCAGUGCACUAAAAGAGCCUCAAAGGCAGAAAGGGAAGGAAA